GUCUACGGCCAUACCACAAUGAACGCACCUGAUCUCAUCUGAUCUUGCAAGCUAAGAACGGUCCGGCCUGGUUAGUACUUGGAAGGGGAAAACAGAAUCUAAUUAAAGACA
rnacentral:rRNA from 1 species